ensembl:ncRNA sncRNA:CR43603 small non-coding RNA:CR43603
UGUCCAAUGAUUAAGACUUACACCUUUGAGGGUUUCCCGAUGGCGAGCCAUGUGCUGUGCGGGCUGGGGAUCACCUCGUGGUCGCCAGGCGCACGCGGGGACUCCAAUGCUCCACGUGCCCGGCUUGUGUGCUCUCCAAAAGGUCCCGAGGAUUUACAGAUUAUGAGAUCUGAGGACACACCGCGC